UUUCGUACGAACGCUACGUGGACGGCC
rnacentral:sRNA from 1 species